rnacentral:rRNA from 1 species
GGUGGCGCGGAUCUUCAGAGAUUAGAGUUUGAUCAUGGCUCAGGAUGAACGCUGGCGGCGUGCUUAAGACAUGCAAGUCGAACGCAAUCCAAGUAGCAAUACUGGGGUUGAGUGGCGAAUGGGUGCGUAACACGUAGGUGACCUGCCCGAAAGUGGGGAAUAACAGUCCGAAAGGACUGCUAAUACCGCAUGUGAUGGUUGGGGUGAGAGCCCCGAUCUUCAAAGGUUCGCAAGAACCGCUUUCGGAGGGGCCUGCGGCCCAUCAGCUAGUUGGUUGGGUAACGGCCAACCAAGGCAACGACGGGUAGGGGACCUCAGAGGGUGGCCCCCCACACUGGCACUGACACACGGGCCAGACUCCUACGGGAGGCAGCAGUCGGGAAUAUUGCCCAAUGCGCGAAAGCGUGAGGCAGCAACGCCGCGUGCGCGAUGAAGGCCUUCGGGUCGUAAAGCGCUUUUCGGUGGGAUGAGGAAGGACAGUACCACCGGAAUAAGGGACGGCUAACUACGUGCCAGCAGCCGCGGUAAAACGUAGGUCCCGAGCGUUAUCCGGAUUUACUGGGCGUAAAGGGCGUUCAGGCGGUGGGCUAAGUCAGGCAUGAAAUCUCACAGCUCAACCGAGAGAGGCUGUCUGAGACUGGCACACUUGAGGGCAGUCGAGGGUGGUGGAAUUCCGGGUGUAGUGGUGAAAUGCGUAGAGAUCCGGAGGAACACCAGUGGCGAAAGCGGCCACCUGGGCUGUACCUGACGCUGACACGCGAAAGCUAGGGGAGCGAACGGGAUUAGAAACCCCGGUAGUCCUAGCCGUAAACGAUGUUGACCAGGUGUCGGCGGUCUAAACCCCGUCGGUGCCGGCGCUAACGCACGAAGUCAACCGCCUGGGGGACUACGGCCGCAAGUUAAAACUCAAGGAAUUGACGGGGACCUGCACAAGCAGCGGAGUCGUGUGGUUUAAUUCGAGGCUAA